rnacentral:misc_RNA from 1 species
GUUUCUUGCUGGAUGAGCAAAUUUCUCUGGUCAUUUCUUGAAACCAGUCAAUUGCUUGAUACACGAGGAUUGGCAUCAAUCUGACUGUCUGGUUGGUGGCGACAUCAUGUUGGUUAAAACAGCACCAAAUGGGAAUAUUAGGUAUUCAGGGAACCAACUGAUGGGAUAUGAUCAAGGAAUCAAGCGCGGAAUAGUCAUUGGCAAAUGAAACGGCCAGGGCU